rnacentral:rRNA from 1 species
UACGUAGGUGGCAAGCGUUAUCCGGAAUUAUUGGGCGUAAAGCGCGCGCAGGUGGUUUCUUAAGUCUGAUGUGAAAGCCCACGGCUCAACCGUGGAGGGUCAUUGGAAACUGGGAGACUUGAGUGCAGAAGAGGAAAGUGGAAUUCCAUGUGUAGCGGUGAAAUGCGUAGAGAUAUGGAGGAACACCAGUGGCGAAGGCGACUUUCUGGUCUGUAACUGACACUGAGGCGCGAAAGCGUGGGGGAGCAAACAGG